UCAGAGCUACCCAUGCUAAUUCCCUCUCUGAUGAUGUGGGGAACAUUUAGCUCAAAGUCUAUUUUUCCUAAGUGGCUUUAGCCUCCCCUCUUAUGACUCCACAGCUUAGGUCACCCAGCUACUGGACUCAUCAAGACUCCAUUGGUGGUAAACACCAGAAAAGUGAUUUUUUAAGUGGAGAAAGGAGUUGAAUGCUUUUUAAUAGAUACAUAUGUAAGAAGAAGGAAUGAAAAAAAGUGAAAAUAAAAUCAAGAAUGGUGAAAAAAGAUUUUCAGCUAUACUCUGGGUACAUUCAUUGAGCCAGAGGUAUUGAUCAAGAGAAACGGGAAGCACUACCAGACAGUAAGAGAGCCAUUAUCAAAAGUCAAACAAGAAUGAAAUUUCCUUCUGAUGUGUGAGCUGCUGAUUUUCCAAAUGCCACUCUGGCUCCAGCUUUAAAGAGGUACAGAGGUGCUGGACAGCAGCAAACAGAACUUGACAGCACAGAAUGUUCCUUUCCACUCCAGCCCCAGACAGAAUAUCAGUGUUCUACUGUGGACUUAGCUCCAGGCACAGGUUACUACGUUUCAGCAAGACUCGCCUGGAAGAACUCUGGGGAAAUUCAGUGCUCUGGGCCUGGUCCUUUGCCUUCUAUCAGUUUCCCCUGUGACUGGACAAGCCGAGCUUGCUGGACUGGCACUGUGAGUGAAGCCCAGGAGGAUCACCAGCUGCCUGGGGCCUUGGUUCACCUCUGGCUUGACGCGCUGCAUGAAUUACUUCUCAGAGCUUCAGAAUCGGAAGCUUUUGUUUUUCUUGAAAAUACUCUUUCUGGGACUCUGAGCCAUCAUGGAAGAUGACCCACUACCCUGAGACCACCAUGCUGAAGAGGCUAUGCAUAGCUGUUUGGGUCAACAGUCCCAUUGAGUCCUGCCUUCCAGCCAUCUCUGCCAAACCACAAGACAUAUGAAUAAAACCUUGGAUUCUCUAAGGGCACUUGGGUGACUCAGUCAGUUAAGUAUCCAACUCUUGAUUUCGAC